UAGCUCUGGUUUCUCUUAAGUCACGCAAAAAUCUUUCGCUUUUUAAUAAAAAUUUCUGUGGAGAGAAACAUCAAUGAGUUUGAAGUAUUUUCAUGAGCUUUGCUCUGGCAAAGCU